UGAGUGUGAGUUAUGAAGCAAAAUUGGUCAAUUUUGCAGCACAUUUUCGCCAAAAGUUUAUUUCCUGAACAUAUUAUACAUUUGCACCGUUGUAGUAGAUACUCAUUGAGAAUUGGUCCUGUAUUAAAUUUAUUUUGUUUCCCAUACUUCCUUAAUUUUUCCCUAAUUUCUUUGUAUUUUCCUUUGUUUUCUUCUAGUAUGUUUUUGUUUGCCAAGUUGCUAUAGAAAAUUUAUUUACCUUAAUUUGGUUAUUUCCUUCAAUCGUUUUUUGGGGUCGGAAAAUGCUACUUGGCUGUAAGGCCG
rnacentral:lncRNA from 1 species